AUGCCCUCACCUCCUUGUUCCACCCUGUUCACAGCCAGAGCUGCAGGGCCUAUAGACUUCUCGCACUGCUGCAGUCCCUGGGGAAGCCGUAGGCCACAGUUCCCGGAGCCUGGAGUCCUGGGGCAGACAGAGCAGUUGCUCCCCAGGGAACCAUCCUUCCUCAUGUUAGUCCCUGUGCACUUGUGAUAAGAAAUCCUUGCCCCCACCAUUGCAGACGUGAGGUCGAAGGCAAAAGAGGCAGUGCCGUCCUGCAGCACCAUCAUUGUCUCCUGCUCAGCUUUUGGAGCAAACACAUCUUCCAGUGCUGAGCUCCUGGGCCCUGGGAGGGUUCCCUAGCUCCCUCCUUGGAGGUGAGUCCCAGAGUGUGGGCCACCGGAGGCCAAUUUGGCCCCAUGCUCUGUUGCAGUCUCUGGAGAACCUGGCAGAGGCUGUGUGGGGAUGUGACCAGCCAUUGUCUGGGAAAGGAGCUUGAAGCUGA
rnacentral:lncRNA from 1 species